AGUCGUCGGAGAUGGAGAGGCGGCUGAAGAUGGGUAGGCGACGGCCAGGGUCCAGGCUGGGGGACUCGGAGCCGCUGAGGCUGCCGGAGCUCAGCGAGCCGCUCAGAUGUUCCGUGAGAUAUGAAACCACCCCAUCUUAUAGAUGCUGAAACUGACACCACAGAAUGAUGCCAACUAAGUCAGAAGGGAAGUGACUUCUGACUGCAGUCUGACAAUACAUGAAAGACCCUAACACUCUGAGUGACCGCCACAGUGACCCGGCCGGGCAGUACUCACACUGAGGGUCAGAGGUGAUGAGGUUUAUGAGACUGAAGUACCAGUGUGACCUGACCUAAGCCUGCAAGGCUCAUUAUGGCUCACAAGGGAGGCUGCACAGGAAAGCCCACCACCCUGAGGUCCAGAUCCACCUGCCUUUCCACAACCAAAGAGAGCUACAGAAACCAGGUCACAGUCUGAUGCAAGCCACUCUAGGUGCUAACCUGUCAGCUACCUUGCUGAUGCAAGAUAUUCUCUAUCCUGAAAAUCUCUAUCCUUAAAAAGCUUCUGGUGUGGGUGAGCCGAUGAGACUCCUGACCAACAAACACCAGAACUGAAGAAGGUGGGUGUGACCAAAGUCGUCUGAGUUCUGAUGUCCAAAAGGCCAUGUGGAAAAGGAGGUCCAAGGAGCUGGCUAGGCCUUAGGAACCUAAGACUAAUGGGCUGACUUAGCACAGGCCAUGACAACACUCCCACAGACAUGAAGUAGGUAUAGGCAGGGUGACUCUAAAAGGACCUGGGACUCUACCCAUUCUUGGGUCUUUCCACAGUGUCACUCUGCCAUAUCCCUCCUGCAUGUCUUUAUUCUUUAGCCUCUACUAGGUGCUGUCACCCAGUCACUUCUCUUCCCAUCACUUCUAACGAUAUGGUGAUUGUAAUUGCAAGGUGUGUGUGCUUGUCUUCUAAGUAAGCCUUUACAUUUCAGGCAAUGGAUGGGGCUAAAAUGUCACACGGAUCCACAUUCACUUGAUUUUAUUUUAUUUUUUUAAUUUUGAGACAGGAUUUCUGUGUAGCCCUGGCUAUCCUAGAACUCGCUCUAUAAACCAAGCUGGCCUCAAACUCACAGAUAUCCACCUGCCUCUGCCUCUCAAGUACUGGGAUUAAAUGUGUGUGUCACUACCA
rnacentral:lncRNA from 1 species